rnacentral:rRNA from 1 species
UACGUAGGGAGCAAGCGUUGUUCGGAUUUACUGGGCGUAAAGGGCGCGUGAGGCGGCAGAUCAAGUCAGUUGUGAAAUCUCUGAGCUUAACUCAGAACUGUCAACUGAUACUGCUCUGCUAGAGUGCGGAAGGGGCAAUCGGAAUUCUUGGUGCAGCGGUGAAAUGCGUAGAUAUCAAGAGGAACACCUGAGGUGAAGACGGGUUGCUGGGCCGACACUGACGCUGAGUGCGCGAA